rnacentral:rRNA from 1 species
AGGAUCCUACGGGGGGCAGCAGUGGGGAAUAUUGCACAAUGGGCGCAAGCCUGAUGCAGCGACGCCGCGUGAGCGAAGAAGUAUUUCGGUAUGUAAAGUUCUAUCAGCAGGGAAGAAAAUGACGGUACCUGACUAAGAAGCUCCGGCUAAAUACGUGCCAGCAGCCGCGGUCAUACGAAUGGAGCCAGCGUUAUCCGGAAUUACUGGGUGUAAAGGGAGCGUAGACGGAUGUGCAAGUCUGAUGUGAA